rnacentral:tRNA from 1 species
GGCGCUAUAGCCAAGUGGUUACGGCGACAGAUUAGAAUGAGUGAUGGGUGAUACAAUCUGUUCCUCUUUGAGGGCGCAGGUUCAAAUCCUGCUGGCGUCG